GACGAACGCUGGCGGCGUGCCUAAUACAUGCAAGUAGAACGCAGUUGCGAACGGGAGAGUAACGCGUAGGUAACUGCCUGGUAGCGGGGGAUAACUAUUGGAAACGAUAGCUAAUACCGCAUACUACUAGAUGGACCUGCGUUGUAUUAGCUAGUUGGUGGGGUAACGGCCCACCAAGGCAAAGAUACAUAGCCGGACCGAGAGGGUGAUCGGGCCAACUGGGACCGGGACAAGGCUCAGAACCCUUCGGGAGGGAGCCGGUGGGAAUCAUCGGCAAUGGGGGGAAACCUGACCGAACAAAUCCGGGGGAGUGAAGAAGGUUUUCGGGUCGUAAAGCUCUGUUGGUCAGGAAGCGGUACUUAACCAGAAAGGGACGGCUAACUACGUGCCAGCAGCCGCGGUAAUAC
rnacentral:rRNA from 1 species